rnacentral:rRNA from 1 species
GCACAAGCGGUGGAGCAUGUGGUUUAAUUCGAUGCAACGCGCAGAACCUUACUGGCCUUGACAUGUCCGGAAUCCUGCAGAGAUGCGGGAGUGCCUUCGGGAAUCGGAACACAGGUGCUGCAUGGCUGUCGUCAGCUCGUGUCGUGAGACGUUGGGUUAAGUCCCGCAACGAGCGCAACCCUUGUCCCUAGUUGCCAGCACGUAAUGGUGGGGACUCUAGACAGACUGCCUGCGCAAGCAGAGAGGAAGGAGGGGACGACGUCAAGUCAUCAUGGCCCUUACGAGUAGGGCUACACACGUCAUACAAUGGCCGGUACAGAGGGAUGCCAACCCGCGAGGGGGAGCCAAUCUCAGAAAGCCGGUCGUAGUCCGGAUUGUUCUCUGCAACUCGAGAGCAUGAAGUCGGAAUCGCAAGUAAUCGCGGAUCAGCAGGUCGCGGUGAAUACGUUCCCGGGC